UGCAGCCUUGUCAAAUUCUAUGCUUCCUCUACAAUGGACUGCACUGGCCCAAAUGGCUGCCACAGUGAACCUGUAGUUCAUGGGCCUCAUCUCUUUUAUAUUGUUGUCGGAUACAUUUGUACUACAGACAAUA
ensembl:snoRNA